CUGGUAUUGAUUGGUGCUUGCAUCAUGAUUUACAUUUGAGUGAGUGGCGAACUGGUGAGUAACACGUGGGAAACCUGCCCAGAAGCGGGGGAUAACACCUGGAAACAGAUGCUAAUACCGCAUAACAACUUGGACCGCAUGGUCCGAGCUUGAAAGAUGGCUUCGGCUAUCACUUUUGGAUGGUCCCGCGGCGUAUUAGCUAGAUGGUGGGGUAACGGCUCACCAUGGCAAUGAUACGUAGCCGACCUGAGAGGGUAAUCGGCCACAUUGGGACUGAGACACGGCCCAAACUCCUACGGGAGGCAGCAGUAGGGAAUCUUCCACAAUGGACGAAAGUCUGAUGGAGCAACGCCGCGUGAGUGAAGAAGGGUUUCGGCUCGUAAAACUCUGUUGUUAAAGAAGAACAUAUCUGAGAGUAACUGUUCAGGUAUUGACGGUAUUUAACCAGAAAGCCACGGCUAACUACGUGCCAGCAGCCGCGGUAAUACGUAGGUGGCAAGCGUUGUCCGGAUUUAUUGGGCGUAAAGCGAGCGCAGGCGGUUUUUUAAGUCUGAUGUGAAAGCCUUCGGCUCAACCGAAGAAGUGCAUCGGAAACUGGGAAACUUGAGUGCAGAAGAGGACAGUGGAACUCCAUGUGUAGCGGUGAAAUGCGUAGAUAUAUGGAAGAACACCAGUGGCGAAGGCGGCUGUCUGGUCUGUAACUGACGCUGAGGCUCGAAAGUAUGGGUAGCAAACAGGAUUAGAUACCCUGGUAGUCCAUACCGUAAACGAUGAAUGCUAAGUGUUGGAGGGUUUCCGCCCUUCAGUGCUGCAGCUAACGCAUUAAGCAUUCCGCCUGGGGAGUACGGCCGCAAGGCUGAAACUCAAAGGAAUUGACGGGGGCCCGCACAAGCGGUGGAGCAUGUGGUUUAAUUCGAAGCUACGCGAAGAACCUUACCAGGUCUUGACAUACUAUGCAAAUCUAAGAGAUUAGACGUUCCCUUCGGGGACAUGGAUACAGGUGGUGCAUGGUUGUCGUCAGCUCGUGUCGUGAGAUGUUGGGUUAAGUCCCGCAACGAGCGCAACCCUUAUUAUCAGUUGCCAGCAUUAAGUUGGGCACUCUGGUGAGACUGCCGGUGACAAACCGGAGGAAGGUGGGGAUGACGUCAAAUCAUCAUGCCCCUUAUGACCUGGGCUACACACGUGCUACAAUGGAUGGUACAACGAGUUGCGAACUCGCGAGAGUAAGCUAAUCUCUUAAAGCCAUUCUCAGUUCGGAUUGUAGGCUGCAACUCGCCUACAUGAAGUCGGAAUCGCUAGUAAUCGCGGAUCAGCAUGCCGCGGUGAAUACGUUCCCGGGCCUUGUACACACCGCCCGUCACACCAUGAGAGUUUGUAACA
rnacentral:rRNA from 2 species